UACGAAGGGUGCAAGCGUUACUCGGAAUUACUGGGCGUAAAGGGUGCGUAGGUGGUUGUUUAAGUCUGUUAUGAAAGCCCCGGGCUCAACCUGGGAAUGGCAAUGGAUACUGGACAGCUAGAGUGCGGUAGAGGGUAGUGGAAUUCCCAGUGUAGCAGUGAAAUGCGUAGAGAUCCGGAGGAACACCAGCGGCGAAGGCGGCAUCCUGGACUGGUACUGACGCUCAUGAGCGAA
rnacentral:rRNA from 1 species